UACAGAGGGUGCAAACGUUGUUCGGAAUUACUGGGCGUAAAGCGCGUGUAGGCGGCUUUGCAAGUCGGGUGUGAAAGCCCUCAGCUUAACUGAGGAAGUGCGCCCGAAACUGCAGAGCUUGAGUACCGGAGAGGAUGGCGGAUUCCCCAAGUAGAGGUGAAGUUCGUAGAUAUGGGGAGGAACACCGGUGGCGAAGGCGGCCAUCUGGACGGAUACUGACGCUGAGACGCGAAAGCGUGGGUAGCAAACAGG
rnacentral:rRNA from 1 species